AAAAAAAAAAAGCCAUGGUGAUUCUGCCUUCACUGUUUCUGGGCUUGAGUCACACCAUUGGUGGCGUGACUGGCUAAUUUUGUUACAGGACUCAUUUUAGAGUGUGGUAUGGGAGCUUCCCUGGUGGUCCGGUGGUUAAGACUCCUCGCUCCCAAUGCAAGGGACACAGGUUCAAUCCCUGUUCAGGGAACCAAGGUCCAGCAUGCCACAUGGCACAGCCAAAACAAAACGAAAAACCACAAACACAAAAUGAAGAUACCGUGCAAUGUAGGCAUGUAAGAGUCUUAAAAGAGUUUGGCGCUGCCCCUCUCCUGACGCUCCUGCUGUUCUUACAGUGAUGAGAGUCAAGGCAUGAACAGCAGCCCCCCUCCUCCCUCCUUCCACUUGUUACCAGUAGUCCAUACGUUUUAUUUCAGAUUUUACAGAUUUACUUUAUAUUUUGGCUCUCGCCUCUAGCUGUUUCUCUAUAGGAGAAGAGAAAGUACUUUUGUCCUAAGUGAUGCUGCCUUAGACCAGCCUGCCACGCUGUAGCGAGGCCAGCAAGAUGGCCUUGCCCUGGCAGGCGCACACGCCGUUGGGGGCUGUGCACAGAAUGCCCGUCGUCUGCCGCAGUGUCUGGCGCCUCUGGCCUCAGCGUGGACUCUGACCCUCUCCUCUAUGCCUCACCCUUACCCCUUUCUCACAUGGUUCCUGCCUGGUGUUCUGUUGUUCUUGCUGUUUCAUGUUUUCAGACAGCGAGUCCUGAGAAGGAGUUAUCCUUUCCCUAUACCUGUAGGAUUGUCUCCAGUUUGUUUUGUCUUGGAAAACUCCAGGCCUUCUGCUGUGUUGCCCUCCGAUUGCCUCCUUUCCUGCUCAGCUCGGAAGGUGUCUGUUGAUCAGCUCUGUUCUGGCUGCUGCAGUUUCUACCCCUACAUCAAGAUCCACUUCUCUCCUGGCCACCGAAGCAGCGCUUGACACCCAGUCCAGCUCUGCCUUCCUUCAGGUUGGGGAAGAGCUAACUGGGCAUCUCUCCAGGUGCUGGCAGAGCAGCUCAGGCAAUCAAAGUGCUAAGUGUUUCUUUUGGCAUGUGGAAUCUUAGUUCCCUGACCAGGGAUCGCACCCGCAUCCCCUGCAUCGGAAGGUUGAAGUCUUAACCACUGGACCAUUCAUGUUUUAUAAAUCCAUCCAUUCAUUUAAAAACACAUUGAGCAGCUCCUUCUCAUUAGGCCUUGUGUUGUAUGCUAGACACUCCAAGAUUCAUGAGGCUUACACGCUGAUGGGGGAUUCUCUACGUAUAUGCAGGAUAGUGUGUUAAGGGUGAUAAUAAAGGUACACAUAAAAUAUAGAGGGGAUCUAGGGGGUGUCUUUACUGAAGAGCUCAUUUCUGAGCCAGGUCUCAAAGGAUGAGUAUAAAGCAAGGAAAGAUACAUUUUCAAAGGCAUCGUGGUGUGAAAUUUACAAUGGGGAACCUACACAUAAUUUGGUUUGAGUGUAAUUCAGGCUUCUCAGGAGCUGAGAAGAGCAGUGUCAAGAGCUCAGGCUAAAUGUAUACAGGAGCUAGAUAAUGAAGCACAUUGAAUGUCUAGCUUGGGAGUAGGGACUUAAUUUGAAGGUGCUCAGGAGCCACUGGGCUUCCUAGGUGGCGCUAGUGGUAAAGAAAGUGAAGUCGCUCAGUCGUGUCCAGCUCUUUGUGACCCCAUGGACUGUAGCCCACCAGGCUCCUCUGUCCAUGGGAUUUUCCAGG